GAGUUUGAUCCUGGCUCAGGAUGAACGCUAGCUACAGGCUUAACACAUGCAAGUCGAGGGGCAUCAGUGUCGGUGCUUGCAACUGAUGAUGGCGACCGGCGCACGGGUGAGUAACGCGUAUCCAACUUCCCCUUAGUAGGGCAUAGCCCGUAGAAAUGCGGAUUAACACCCUAUGUUCUUCAUGGAUGGCAUCUGACGUGAAGCAAAGUUUACGCUAAGGGAUGGGGAUGCGUCUGAUUAGGUUGCAGGCGGGGUAACGGCCCACCUGGCCGACGAUCAGUAGGGGUUCUGAGAGGAAGGUCCCCCACACUUGGAACUGAGACACGGUCCAAACUCCUACGGGAGGCAGCAGUGAGGAAUAUUGGUCAAUGGGCGCGAGCCUGAACCAGCCAAGUAGCCGUGCAGGAUGACGGCCCUAUGGGUUGUAAACUGCUUUUAUCAGGGGAUAAAGUCGGCUACGCGUAGCCGUUUGUAGGUACCUGAUGAAUAAGGACCGGCUAAUUCCGUGCCAGCCGCCGC
rnacentral:rRNA from 1 species